UGUGGGAGCGAGCCUGCUCGCGAAGCGGCGUGCCAGCCACAGAUGGGUUGCCUGGCAUUCCGUCAUCGCGAGCAGGCUCGCUCCCACA
rnacentral:misc_RNA from 1 species